UACGUAGGUGGCAAGCGUUAUCCGGAAUUACUGGGCGUAAAGCGCACGCAGGUGGUUUGCUAAGAUUGACGUGAAACCUUCUGGCUUAACUGGAAGACGUCGUUGAUGACUGGCAGACUUGAGGUGAGGAGAGGGGUGCAGAAUUCCCGGUGUAGUGGUGGAAUGCGUAGAUAUCGGGGGGAAUACCAGUGGCGAAAGCGGCACCCUGGCCUUGGCCUGACGCUCAGGUGCGAAAGCGUGGGGAGCGAACGGG
rnacentral:rRNA from 1 species